AGCCCUUAGUCGGGGUGCUAACAUUGUUUGGCUGAGAGAUACCCGUGAACCUGAAACAGAUAAUGCUGGCGUAGGAAACUAACUCUUUUCAUUA
rnacentral:ncRNA from 2 species